rnacentral:rRNA from 1 species
UUUAAUUGGAUUCAACGCCGGAAAACUCACCAGUGCCGACGGACAUAUGAAGAUCAGCGUGAUGAGCUUAUUGGAUUGUUCGAGAGGUAGUGCAUGGCCGUCGUCAGUUCGUACCGUAAGGCGUUCUGUUAAGUCAGAUAACGAACGAGACCCCUAUCGUCUAUUUGCUAGACGGAUCUCCGGAUUCGUCGCACUAUAGCGAGACCGCUGGCGUGAAGUCAGAGGAAGGUGGGGGCAACGACAGGUCAGUAUGCUCCGAAUGCACUGGGCUACACGCGCGCUACAAAGGCCAGGACAAUGGGUCUGCCACGCCGAGAGGCGGCGCUAUCCCGAAACCUGGUCGUAGUUCGGAUCGAGGGCUGUAAUUCGCCCUCGUGAAGCUGGAUUUCGUAGUAAUCGCGUCUCAAAAUGGCGCGGUGAAUAUGCCCCUGCUCCUUGCACACACCGCCCGUCAAACCACUUAGUUGGGGGUGGGUGAGGCUGCCUUAACCAUGGGGUAUUCGAGCCUGCCUUCGACAAGGAGGGUUAAGUCGUAACAAGGUAUCUGUA